rnacentral:rRNA from 1 species
GUGGGGAAUAUUGGACAAUGGGGGGAACCCUGAUCCAGCCAUGCCGCGUGUGUGAAGAAGGCCUUUUGGUUGUAAAGCACUUUAAGCGAGGAGGAGGCUACCGAGAUUAAUACUCUUGGAUAGUGGACGUUACUCGCAGAAUAAGCACCGGCUAACUCUGUGCCAGCAGCCGCGGUAAUACAGAGGGUGCAAGCGUUAAUCGGAAUUACUGGGCGUAAAGCGCGCGUAGGUGGCCAAUUAAGUCAAAUGUGAAAUCCCCGAGCUUAACUUGGGAAUUGCAUUCGAUACUGGUUGGCUAGAGUAUGGGAGAGGAUGGUAGAAUUCCAGGUGUAGCGGUGAAAUGCGUAGAGAUCUGGAGGAAUACCGAUGGCGAAGGCAGCCAUCUGGCCUAAUACUGACACUGAGGUGCGAAAGCAUGGGGAGCAAACAGGAUUAGAAACCCUGGUAGUCC